rnacentral:rRNA from 1 species
AAUUUUGGACAAUGGGCGCAAGCCUGAUCCAGCCAUGCCGCGUGAGUGAAGAAGGCCUUCGGGUUGUAAAGCUCUUUCGGACGGAAAGAAAUUGCGCCGGCUAAUACCCUGCCCGGUUGUCGGAACCGCCAUAAGAAGCACCGGCUAACUACGUGCCUUCAGCUGCGGUAACACGUAGGGUGCGAGCGUUAUUCGGAAUUACUGGGCGGAAAGCGUGCGCAGGCGGUUGAUUAAGACAGGCGUGAAAUCCCCGGGCUUAACCUGGGAACUGCGCUUGUGACUGGUCAGCUAGAGUACGGCAGAGGGGGGUGGAAUUCCACGUGUAGCAGUGAAAUGCGUAGAGAUGUGGAGGAACACCGAUGGCGAAGGCAGCCCCCUGGGCCGAUACUGACGCUCAUGCACGAAAGCGUGGGUAGCAAACAGG